UACGUAGGGUGCAAGCGUUGUCCGGAAUCACUGGGCGUAAAGGGCGCGUAGGCGGUCUGGUAAGCGUGUGGUGAAAGCUCGGGGCUCAACCCCGAGUCGGCCGUGCGAACUGCUGGACUGGAGCAUGUCAGAGGCAGGCGGAAUUCCGGGUGUAGCGGUGGAAUGCGUAGAGAUCCGGAAGAACACCGGUGGCGAAGGCGGCCUGCUGGGACAUGGCUGACGCUGAGGCGCGACAGCGUGGGGAGCAAACAGG
rnacentral:rRNA from 1 species